rnacentral:lncRNA from 1 species
CCGUUUUCGCUUUUGCAUAUUUUCUUUUCCAGCAACUUAACAUUAUUGUUUCUUUAUUAUUUUUUACGAGUUCUACAUUAUCUCUCUUGCAAUUUUUAUUUUCCUUUUUCCUUUUUAGCAUUUAGUUAAUUCUUUUCGUGCAAUAGUUUCUACACCGGAAACUAUUGUGCACCUUUUUACCGGAUCUAACCUUACGUUAGAAUCCAGUUUUUAUUUCC